UGGCGACCGAGGCGGCAGGCGGAUCCCGGCAGGGUCUCAGUCCAGCACGGGUGUUUCAUUUCAGCCCCGUGUGUACCGCUGGUGUUUCUAUAGCAGCCGCGGCUGCUGCAGGAGGCAAGAGACUCGCCUGCAUGAAGUUCUGAGUUCUCAGCCUUGUGGGCAAGCCUGCCCCCUGGAGGAAACAGACUUAUUUUUUCAAAUGACAGCUGCAAAGAGGGGCUACUAAUAAAAUAAAACAACGCAAAGAACAAAAAGCAAAUAAAGCAAACUGACGAACCAGAACCAGGACGCAAAUGAAGAUUUGCUGGUUACUGAAAAGCCUUGUUAGACUCUUGAUUCAUUUUAGCAUCUUCACUGAAAUCACAUAAAAAAAUCUCUGAGCUUUUGGAAAACAUUAAAAACUGACCGACCCAGCUAUGAGCCAUUGAUAAGGAAGUGAGUCCAGAAGUAAUUUUGAUGUCUUCCUGUCCC
rnacentral:lncRNA from 1 species